CGAGGGAUCAGACCCGAAACCGAGUGAUCUAGGCAUGUCCAGGAUGAAGGUAAGGUAACACUUACUGGAGGUCCGAACCCACAUCUGUUGAAAAAGAUCGGGAUGAGGUGUGCCUAGGGGUGAAAGGCCAAUCAAACUCGGAGAUAGCUGGUUCUCUGCGAAAUCUAUUUAGGUAGAGCGUCGUCUGAAUACCCUCGGGGGUAGAGCACUGAAUGGGUAAUGGGGGCCCACAGCCUUACUGAUCCUAAUCAAACUCCGAAUACCGAGGAGUACUAGACGGCAGACACACAGCGGGUGCUAACGUCCGUCGUGGAGAGGGAAACAACCCUGACCUACAGCUAAGGCCCCUAAUUCAUGGCUAAGUGGGAAAGCAGGUGGGACGACCAAAACAACCAGGAUGUUGGCUUAGAAGCAGCCAUCAUUUAAAGAUAGCGUAACAGCUCACUGGUCAAGCGCUCCUGCGUCGAAAAUGUACCGGGGCUUAAGUGAUUUACCGAAGACACGGGCGCAAUUUAUUGCGCGGUAGCGGAGCGUUCCGUAAGCCUGUGAAGGUAAACCGUAAGGUUUGCUGGAGGUAUCGGAAGUGAGAAUGCUGACAUAAGUAGCGAUAAAGAAUGUGAGAAACAUUCUCGCCGAAAGUCCAAGGGUUCUUGCGUAAAGUUAAUCUGCACAAGGUUAGUCGGCUCCUAAGAUGAGGCUGAAAGGCGUAAUCGAUGGGAAUCAGGUUAAUAUUCCUGAACCUGAAGGAUGUGACGAAAAUAGUAAAUUGUACAGUCUUAUUGGAUUGAUUGUGCAGUGAAUAUUUUCCAGGAAAUAACACCUUCAUUAUAGACCGUACCCGAAACCGACACAGGUGGUCAGGUAGAGCAUACCAAGG
rnacentral:rRNA from 1 species